rnacentral:rRNA from 1 species
GAUGAACGCUGGCGGCGUGCCUAAUACAUGCAAGUCGAGCGAACGGACGAGAAGCUUGCUUCUCUGAUGUUAGCGGCGGACGGGUGAGUAACACGUGGAUAACCUACCUAUAAGACUGGGAUAACUUCGGGAAACCGUAGCUAAUACCGGAUAAUAUUUUGAACCGCAUGGUUCAAAAGUGAAAGACGGUCUUGCUGUCACUUAUAGAUGGAUCCGCGCUGCAUUAGCUAGUUGGUAAGGUAACGGCUUACCAAGGCAACGAUGCAUAGCCGACCUGAGAGGGUGAUCGGCCACACUGGAACUGAGACACGGUCCAGACUCCUACGGGAGGCAGCAGUAGGGAAUCUUCCGCAAUGGGCGAAAGCCUGACGGAGCAACGCCGCGUGAGUGAUGAAGGUCUUCGGAUCGUAAAACUCUGUUAUUAGGGAAGAACAUAUGUGUAAGUAACUGUGCACAUCUUGACGGUACCUAAUCAGAAAGCCACGGCUAACUACGUGCCAGCAGCCGCGGUAAUACGUAGGUGGCAAGCGUUAUCCGGAAUUAUUGGGCGUAAAGCGCGCGUAGGCGGUUUUUUAAGUCCGAUGUGAAAGCCCACGGCUCAACCGUGGAGGGUCAUUGGAAACUGGAAAACUUGAGUGCAGAAGAGGAAAGUGGAAUUCCAUGCGUAGCGGUGAAAUGCGCAGAGAUAUGGAGGAACACCAGUGGCGAAGGCGACUUUCUGGUCUGUAACUGACGCUGAUGUGCGAAAGCGUGGGGAUCAAACAGGAUUAGAUACCCUGGUAGUCCACGCCGUAAACGAUGAGUGCUAAGUGUUAGGGGGUUUCCGCCCCUUAGUGCUGCAGCUAACGCAUUAAGCACUCCGCCUGGGGAGUACGACCGCAAGGUUGAAACUCAAAGGAAUUGACGGGGACCCGCACAAGCGGUGGAGCAUGUGGUUUAAUUCGAAGCAACGCGAAGAACCUUACCAAAUCUUGACAUCCUUUGACAACUCUAGAGAUAGAGCUUUCCCCUUCGGGGGACAAAGUGACAGGUGGUGCAUGGUUGUCGUCAGCUCGUGUCGUGAGAUGUUGGGUUAAGUCCCGCAACGAGCGCAACCCUUAAGCUUAGUUGCCAUCAUUAAGUUGGGCACUCUAAGUUGACUGCCGGUGACAAACCGGAGGAAGGUGGGGAUGACGUCAAAUCAUCAUGCCCCUUAUGAUUUGGGCUACACACGUGCUACAAUGGACAAUACAAAGGGCAGCGAAACCGUGAGGUCAAGCAAAUCCCAUAAAGUUGUUCUCAGUUCGGAUUGUAGUCUGCAACUCGACUACAUGAAGCUGGAAUCGCUAGUAAUCGUAGAUCAGCAUGCUACGGUGAAUACGUUCCCGGGUCU